UUCUUAUUCCAAGAAUUAUUGAUAUUCAUUAUUCAUGAUAUUAUUCUGAAACUCUGAACUAUCUUAGAUAUGAUACUUCGAUAUUUUAAACUCGUGUUAUGAAACUCUUUACCCUUGUUGUAUAUUACUUGCUGGGCAAUUUUUGCUCAUCCUUGCUUAUUUAAAACCUGUCAGUUAAGUUGGAACAGGGAGGUGUCUCUAGA
rnacentral:lncRNA from 1 species